rnacentral:lncRNA from 1 species
GUUGAGGUUCAUUGGCGCAUAUAUUUUCUUUUAUCGCUUUUUUGAGCAUGCUUUUGCCAACCAUAAUAUUUCUAGAUAAGUGUUUCAUGAUUUUUUUUUUCUUUUUUUCUUUGAAUUUUCUUCAUCUUUUUGCACUUAUCUAAGGUUUGUCGGUGUCCCCAAAUUUUGAUGAAACCCCAAACUUAGGCUUUUCAGUAGCUUCGGGGUAAACAACACUUAUCU